UGAGAAGUGUGAGUGUGACCAGUUGGUUA
rnacentral:piRNA from 1 species